UACGGAGGGUGCGAGCGUUGUCCGGAAUCAUUGGGCGUAAAGGGCGCGUAGGUGGCUUCUUAAGCGUGCGGUGAAAGCCUGGGGCUCAACCCCGGGUCGGCCGUGCGAACUGGGGGGCUGGAGCACUGUAGAGGCAGGCGGAAUUCCGGGUGUAGCGGUGGAAUGCGCAGAUAUCAGGAGGAACACCGGUGGCGAAGGCGGGUCUCUGGGCCGAUACUGACGCUGAGGAGCGAAAGCGUGGGGAGCGAACAGG
rnacentral:rRNA from 1 species